CGUUACCAGCGGAGGCCACGAGGAGGCGGAGCUGCCAGCAUGUAGCUCGGUCCCAGCAGAUUUUUUCCCAACACGCGAUUUGGCGCGUAGAUAGCUACAAUUGUAUAAAACUAACUAAAGUAAUUUUAAACCUCGAGAAAAUUUCCGAAAUACCAAAAAUCUCCAAUGAAGCGGCUCAACCACGGUGGAACCUACUACGAGUAGACUUCAUUUCUGCCAACAAACAAGAGAUCCAUAAGGUGGCGCACCUUUUCCCAAAG
rnacentral:misc_RNA from 1 species